rnacentral:rRNA from 1 species
UACAGAGGUCCCAAGCGUUGUUCGGAUUCAUUGGGCGUAAAGAGCUCGUAGGCGGCUUGUCGCGUCGGCUGUGAAAACCUGGGGCUCAACCCCGGGCCUGCAGCCGAUACGGGCAGCUAGAAUUCGGUAGGGGAGACUGGAAUUCCUGGUGUAGCGGUGAAAUGCGCAGAUAUCAGGAGGAACACCGGUGGCGAAGGCGGGUCUCUGGGCCGAAAUUGACGCUGAGGAGCGAAAGCGUGGGGAGCAAACAGG